rnacentral:lncRNA from 1 species
GCUCGGACCUCGGCAGCAGGGAGAAGAGAGAGAAACUGAGGCACGGUUAAAAACGGGGGGGGGCCGGAAAUGUGGGGGGCGGACCCCCCCCCCCCCCCCAAAGCUCUGCCCCCCCUCCCCCACCACGUCCCGCCCCACAAGUCGCCCCCUCCCCACCCCACGUUUCUCCCCCCCCGGCCCCACGUCCCCUCCCGUGGGGCGGCAGCGGCGCCCGCGGUGGGACCCGGCCCCACGGCUCGUGCCCCGACCCACAGAGGCCGUGGGGCAGAUGUGGGGCAGAUGUGGGGCAGGGCUGCUGUGGGUCAGGGUCUCUAUGGGUCGGCCAUGAGUCAGAUGUGGGGCAGCUCCUCUGGAUGUGGGUCAGCUGUGAGUCAGAUGUGGGUCUCUAUGGGUCGGCCGUGGGUCAGAUGUGGGGCAGGGCGGGCAGGCUCUGUGGGUCCCUGUGGGUCUCUAUGGGUCGCAGUGGGUCAGAUGUGGGGCAGGGCGGGCAGGC